AUGCUAAGUGAAAGAAACCUGACACGAAAGGGCAAAUACUGUAGGAUUCCACUUAUAUGAGGUACCUGGACUUAGGACAGCAGGUAGCAGGGGCUGAGGGCAAGGUACAGGGGAGUUAUUAUUUAAUAGGUACAAGUUUCUGUUGAAGAUGAUGAGAAGUCUUGCAAUGGAUAGUGGUGAGGCUUAUAUAAUGUUGUAAAUAUACUUAAUGGCAUUGAAUUAUACAAUUAAAAGUGGCUAAAAAAUAAGUCUGCUGUACAGCAAAAAUUGGCACAACAUUGUAAAUCAACUAUAAUUUAAAAAAUACCAAGAAAAUGAAAAGGUAAAUUUAAUUUUACCUUUAAUUAAAGUUAGUUGCUGAGCUAGCUGGGGUUUUAAAGCAAACUUAAAAGGCAGGGAAGAAUCUGGGGUCUGUCUUUAUUCGUUUACUGGAGCUGACCAGAGGCCAACACAGGCCAGUCUCCUCUGCAGGCUGGAUAAGACUUUGCACAUACAGCACAGUCCUUAAAUGUUGUGGGGUUUGUUUUAAAAGGAUAAAGGGCAGUUCCCAUCGUGGCUCAGCAGAAACAAACGUGACUAGUAUCCAUGAGGAUGCGGGUUCAGUCCUUCAGUGGGUUAAGGAUACAGCGUUGCCGUGAGCUGUAGUGUAGAUGCAAAUGUGGCUCGGAUCCAGUGUUGCUGUGGCUGUGGUGUAGGCUGGUAACUACAGCCCCAAUUUGACCCCUAGCCUGGGAAUGUCCAUAUGCCGCAGGUGCAGCCCUAAAAAAAAAGGAAAAAAAAGAACAAAGGUGCAAUCAUAAAGCAAGAACUUCUCAGACAUGUUGGAUCUCCUGGGCUUGUUCCCUGUUUGUUUCUUACCCACACUGGGAAAAGUGACUCAGGAUAAAGUACUUGAGCUCCUUCCACUGCCCCUGCUAUGCCCCAGUUUAACUGGGCAGAAUGAACAUUGAUAAGAUAAUGGUGUCUGUUUAAGCCACAUACCAAGAGCAAAGGUUGGAAAAGAAGAUAGUUGAACUAUAAUUCUUAAUUAUUUAAUAUCUUAUUUUGCUUAAUAUUUAUAACAUUUUAAUACUUUAUGAUUUGUGGUAUUUACAACUUCCAUAUUCCUUUGCAAAGGUACCUCCUGGGGUAUAUGACCCCCCCAGCCCCCCACUGAGAGGCCACUGCUUUAGGAACUUUGUCACCUGCUCCCUUUUCUCAUCCUCAACCAAGAAGUGUUUAGUAAAUUCCAGGUGUAAUAUUUCAAAAAUUCCCCUACCUCAAACCUCAAUAGCCACUUUAUACAUACAUAGAAUAUACAUACUGUAGAGCAUCUGAUUUACAAAGCCAGCAGCCAGCUUGCUCUGUCAUCAUCACAACUGUGAUUGGAAGCACAUUUCUUUAUUCCGACUCAACAUGGUUUUUGUAGAUAGACUCUCCCGGUAGGAGCAGACUCCAACAAGCCGCUAAAACUCCACAGCCUAAGUAAUGGCAGGUCCAAGAGUGCAGGUCCAAGAGCGGGAGCAGGGGACCCAGUGAUGUGGCUGUUAGGGUCUGGAGAUGCCCUCCUCCAUGCAUACAGGGAGCAGGAGCCACUAGCAAGCUCCUGACAACAAGAUUCCCAGGAGCCAAGGGGUUGGGGGGCUGUGCAGGGAGACUGGAUGCCAGGGGCCACUGCAGACUCUACCUGUGACACAGCCAGUAACCUUGAUCAGGAGCCUGAUGCCACACCUUCCAAGAGCUAAUGUACUGGUUUUGGCUCUGAUUUUGUUACAGUCCAGUUCAGUGAAGAAAUAUGUGUCUUUGUGUAUUUUACACACAUAAUAAUAUAGAAUUACAGGAGAUUUUAAACUUUCUUUUGUUUGCUUUUCAACAUGAGCAUAUACAUAUGUAGAGAAUAUAUAUAUGUAUGUAAUAUAUAUUUUACAUAUAUAUAUAUGUAAAAUCUCCAAGCCUCCUGGCCACCUUUUGGGGGAGUUAAUCUCCUCUGCUGUGUAUUUAUUCUAAUUAGGUUCACUUUGGGGGUGACUUGCCCAUCACGUUCUUGCUGAGAGGAAGGAGCUGCUGGCUCACUUUCUUCCUUUCAGAUCCUUGAUCUAGGUUACAAAACCAGUACAAAGCAGAGAUGAAGCAACUGCACGGAAGAGAGCCACGCCUUCUUGGAAGGUGACACUGCCUUAUUAGCUGUCAAAAUGGAACCAUCCUCUACUUCCAGCUCUUCCUAGAUUUUGAAAGGAACAUUCAGAACGGAAGCAAAGUUCGUACUAGUAUUUUCCUAUUCCUUUCUAAAACAUUUAUAAAACGUUAGAAUUGGAAGCACGGGUCUCAAAUUUUGGGUGCAAAACACUUGGCCAUGAAUACCCUGCAGGCAGAGCCCGUGGGGACCGUGGAACAGUUGAGGCAGGACACGCUUGGAUUCCAGGUGAAUCCAAACUUACUAUAUCAGGGACGUAGACUUGAGCCAAACUUGUUCAUCUUUGGCUGGCUAUUGAUCCAGCAGCCAAGUCAUAUUUGUAAUAAAAGGAAAAAAAAAAAAA
rnacentral:lncRNA from 1 species